rnacentral:rRNA from 1 species
GGACUACCGGGGUAUCUAAUCCUGUUUGCUACCCACGCUUUCGCGUCUCAGUGUCAGAACCGGCCCAGAAGGCCGCCUUCGCCGCCGGUAUUCCUCCUAAUAUCUACGAAUUUCACCUCUACACUAGGAAUUCCACCUUCCUCUACCGUCCUCUAGCUAAGUAGUUUCGAAUGCACUUCCUCGGUUGAGCCCAGGGCUUUCACACUCGACUUACUUAACCACCUACACGCGCUUUACGCCCAAUGAUUCCGAACAACGCUUGCACCCUACGUAUUACCGCGGCGGCUGGCAC